rnacentral:rRNA from 1 species
CUGGCGGCGUGCUUAACACAUGCAAGUCGAGCGAUGAAGUCCUUCGGGAAUGGAUUAGCGGCGGACGGGUGAGUAACACGUGGGUAACCUGCCUCAUAGAGGGGAAUAGCCUUUCGAAAGGAAGAUUAAUACCGCAUAAGAUUGUAGUACCGCAUGGUACAGCAAUUAAAGGAGUAAUCCGCUAUGAGAUGGACCCGCGUCGCAUUAGCUAGUUGGUGAGGUAACGGCUCACCAAGGCGACGAUGCGUAGCCGACCUGAGAGGGUGAUCGGCCACAUUGGGACUGAGACACGGCCCAGACUCCUACGGGAGGCAGCAGUGGGGAAUAUUGCACAAUGGGGGGAAACCCUGAUGCAGCAAACCGCCGCGUGAGUGAUGACGGUCUUCGGAUUGUAAAGCUCUGUCUUCAGGGACGAUAAUGACGGUACCUGAGGAGGAAGCCACGGCUAACUACGUGCCAGCCGCAGC